rnacentral:tRNA from 1 species
GGGGUUGUGGCUCAGUGGCAGAGCGCUUGCCUGGCAUGUAUGAGGCACUGGGUUCAAUCCUCAGUACCG